rnacentral:rRNA from 1 species
GAUCAUGGCUCAGGAUGAACGCUAGCUACAGGCUUAACACAUGCAAGUCGAGGGGCAGCAUGGUCUUAGCUUGCUAAGGCCGAUGGCGACCGGCGCACGGGUGAGUAACGCGUAUCCAACCUGCCUUACACUCUUGGACAGCCCUCUGAAAGGGAGAUUAAUACAAGAUGUUAUCAUGGGUAAGCAUUUUCGCAUGAUUAAAGGUUUACCGGUGUAAGAUGGGGAUGCGUUCCU